GAAAUAAAUCAAAGAUUGAUUUAUGGAUUAUUGAUUAUGUAAUUGGAGUACUGUGUGAUUGAAUUAUAUGAGAAGUUAUUAGAAGAUUGAUUAUGGAUGGAAGAUUAUGAUUAUUAUUUAUUGAGAGGUGUGUGUAUUUCAACAAAAGAAGUUUGUGAUUAUUAAAAUUGUGUGAAUUCAGAUUGAUUGGAGUGAAGUCUGUUAUUUCUGAUGUUGGAUGGAAUUUAUGUGCUUUGAGCAGUCUUUUAAGAGUGCAAAUUUUUACAUUAUGGUUAUCAAUUGAUGAAGGAGUAUUGUUACUGGGAGAAAACAUUGUAGUAUUUCUUGAUAUUUUAGAGGUUCGGAUUACAGUUAAUUGAGUGUCGUUAACUUGUAAGUUCAUGCGUUUAGUCUUUUUUUGAGUUCAAAUCCCCCUCUAGAGGUUUAUUUUGAAAAGAAUUUGUAGAAUAAUUAAAAUGAUAAUUACAUAUCUCAAUCUCUUUUAGAUGUUGUGACAAUUUUUCUAAGGAUAUUGACCAAGGUUUCAUUUACUUUUUUUGUAUGCUCAUUUAUUUGAGGGUGAUAAAGAGCAGUUUUUCUAU
rnacentral:lncRNA from 1 species